UCAAAAACAAAAUUUCAGCAUUACCACUUUAUUGGUUAUAUCAAUAAAAUAAAUUAUUGAGUUUAUGAGUCUAGAUCCUACAAGCAAGCAGAUCUAUCACAUAAUUUUAAAUGAAGAUUUAUCUAUUAUAGUAAUUUAUUCUAAUAACGAAAAAAAAACUUUGGAU